CCAGGAGAGCGGGUGUGGGGGGAGCAGCCAAAAGGAAGAUGGGGACGGGACUCCUCGCCUCAAUGUACCGCACCUUCAGGACCUCAUAGGGAAGGAGGCACUGCAGUACCGCCCGUCAGUGCGAUUAUCUCAGGACGAGAGUUCGGCGUUGGCAGCGGCGGGUCGUCAGGCGCGGCAGCUGGUCGUGUGGACGUACGACUCUCUCCAGCGGCUACAGACACACCACGCGACCUGGCCGUCCGUGCUGCACGACCUGGUGCGAGACGCGGUCACGGACAUCUCGAAACCCACGUACGGGAAGCAGUGUCUCGAGGAAGUGAAGCGAGACCUCGGCUGGAAGAAGUGAUUGGCUCCUGACGGCGGCGUCGCGUGCCAGGACCUCGGUGGGCGUCGGGAGGCGGGUGUCAGGAGAGGCGAAUGAACUGUGGACGAGCAGAGACGAUCAAUGAAAAAGAAAAAGAAAGCAGAACGUGAUAAAUGAUAAAAGGAAAGAGAAGAGGGACUGGUACAUGGGGAAAAGAAAGUGAUCCAUGAUUUUUAAAAAAGGGGUGCUGGUACAAGGUAAUGAAUGGUCUUCAGUUGUCUGUUACAAGUUGAAGGUGAUACAUUUAGAUCCUCUUUUCGUUAGUGGAAAAAGGUACGUGAAUGUUUAUAAGCAUUUUGUCCAGUGUUUUAUUUAGAAUAGUAAGAGAAAGAAGCUUGCGAGUGAAUGCGUUUGCUUGUUUUCACUGUGUGUUUAUAAUGUGUUCAUAUAAGCAACUAAAGAUUCUUUUCCUCUUCAGGAAUUUUGAGUCUGUUAUUAAGAUAUAUUACAGUUUAUGCUGAUUAUUUUUGAAUGAUUGUCAAGUGUAAAGCAUUUGUAAAAGCUAGGUGAGUUUUUUUUUUUUUUUUUUUUACAUCGGUAGGAUAACUAUUCAGAUAUACAGGUUACAUCUGUUAGUUGGGAACUAGAGAGAGAGAGAGAGAGAGAGAGAGAGAGAGAGAGAGAGAGAGAGAGAGAGAGAGAGAGAGAGAGAGAGAGAGAGAGAGAGAGAGAGAGAGAGAGAGAG